UACGGAGGGAGCUAGCGUUGUUCGGAAUUACUGGGCGUAAAGCGCACGUAGGCGGCUUUGUAAGUUAGAGGUGAAAGCCCGGAGCUUAACUCCGAAACUGCAUUCGAUACUGCCGUGCUUGAGGACUGGAGAGGAGACUGGAAUUUACGGUGUAGCGGUGAAAUGCGUAGAUAUCGUAAGGAAGACCAGUGGCGAAGGCGGGUCUCUGGACAGUUCCUGACGCUGAGGCACGAAGGUCAGGGGAGCAAACAGG
rnacentral:rRNA from 1 species